AUUGAACGCUGGCGGCAGGCCUAACACAUGCAAGUCGAACGAGUGGCGGACGGGUGAGUAAUGUCUGGGAAACUGCCCGCUGGAGGGGGUUAACUACUGGAAACGGUAGCUAAUACCGCAUACCAUCGGAUGUGCCCAGAUGGGAUUCGCUAGUAGGUGGGGUAACGGCUCACCUAGGCGACGAUCCCUAUCUGGUCUGAGAGGAUGACCAUCCACACUGGAACUGAGACACGGUCCAGAUUCCUACGGUAGGCAGCAGUGGGGAAUAUUGUAAAAUGGGCGCAAGCCUGAUGCAGCCAUGCCGCGUGUAUGAAGAAGGCCUUCGGGUUGUAAAGUACUUUCAGCGGGGAGGCGUUACCCGCAGAAGAAGCACCGUCUAACUCCGUGCCAGCAGCCGCGGUAAUAC
rnacentral:rRNA from 1 species